GAAGAGAGAGUUCAAGAGUACGUGAAACCAUGUGGGAGUAAACGGGUGGUUCCCGAAAGUACGAAAGGGGAGAUUCAGGUCUCGCCGCGCGUCGGGAGGCGCCCGCGAUUGGAGAUGGUAUCCACGCUGCCGGGGGGCGACCCCCGGUCUCGCGGGGGUUCCACUCCGCGGGCGUCUUUUUAUCCGGCGCCGGAGCGACGCACUUCUCCCCCCUGUAGAACGUCGCGACCCGUCGGUCGCCGGCCUAAGGCCCCGGGCGGAGCCUCGCGCGAGUCUUUCGGGACGCGUCUGCGAGACCCCAGGGAUCCCGGCCGGGUGUCCGACGGAAGGAAGAGAGGAAGGAGUCGACGCGCCGAUUUCGGCGUCCGGCCCUCCGCAAGCGCCCGCGGGAGUGCGGUUCCGGGCCCGGCCCGUUGCUGCGCCCUCCGCGGGGCUGUUUGCGAUCAAGGAGGUGUCCUCGGAC
rnacentral:rRNA from 1 species